AUGGCCGGCGCUGGAUCGAGUUCAUCCGCACCAGGAGAAGGAGGCUUUCACUUGAUGAGUUGCCUAAAAGAAGUUCCGACACUCAGAGGUGACAACCACACUGAGUGGAGGAAGAAAGUUGAACUGGCAUUUGUUUGUGCUGAUCUUGACUGGGUUGUGGAGAAACCACAGCCGAUCAGACCCAAAGAGCCAGUAAGAGAGGCCACUAAUGAUGAUGCUGCAUGGGCUAAAAAGAAGGGGGACUAUGCUCCUUUGGAGCAGUCCUACCUCAUAGAUAACCAAAAGUGGGUCAAUGCUGUAACGCCCCGGAUCCGAUGCGCCAGGUGUCUGCCAGUUAUUCGCCGUCGUUGCCAGGUACAUGUUGUGCGAUGA
rnacentral:rRNA from 1 species